rnacentral:rRNA from 1 species
AAAACUCUGAGACGUGAUACCGAGCCGCUUCAGGCGAAGUCAUUGAUCCUAUGCUGCCUAGAAAAGCCCAGCAGCGAGUUGACAUGGUGCCCGUACCCCAAACCAACACAGGUGGACAGGUAGAGCAUACCAAGUCGAGUGGGAUAACUAUGGUUAAGGAACUCGGCAAAUUGCCUCCGUAACUUCGGGAGAAGGAGGACCCCAGUAGCGUGAUGAGACUUGCUCUCUGAGCGUGAAGGGGUGGCACAAAAUUGAGGGAAGCGACUGUUUACCAAAAACACAGCAGCGUGCUAAGCCGUAAGGCGCUGUAUACGCUGUGACUCCUGCCCGGUGCUGGAAGGUUACGGGGAUGGGUUAGUCCUUCGGGACGAAGCUCUGAACCUAAGCCCCAGUAAACGGCGGCCGUAACUAUAACGGUCCUAAGGUAGCGAAAUUCCUUGUCGGGUAAGUUCCGACCUGCACGAAUGGAGUAACGACUUCCCUACUGUCUCAACCAUAGACCCAGCGAAAUUGAAGUACGAGUAAAGAUGCUCGUUAGCUGCAGAAGGACGGAAAGACCCCGUGGACCUUUACUAUAACUUGAUGUUGUGUUUUGUCAUAUGUUGUGUAGGAUAGGUGGGAGACUUGGAAGCAUGGACGCUAGUCUGUGUGGAGUCAUCGUUGAAAUACCACCCUGCAUAUGGUGAGGCUCUAACCUAGACCCGUUAUCCGGGUUGGGGACAGCGUCAGGCGGGUAGUUUAACUGGGGCGGUUGCCUCCUAAAGAGUAACGGAGGCGCCCAAAGGUUCCCUCAGCCUGGUUGGCAAUCAGGCGUUGAGUGCAAUGGCAAAAGGGAGCUUGACUGCGAGACCUACAAGUCGAGCAGGAGCGAAAGCUGGGCAUAGUGAUCCGGCGGUUGCGUGUGGAAGCGCCGUCGCUCAACAGAUAAAAGGUACCCCGGGGAUAACAGGCUAAUCUUGCCCAAGCGUCCAUAGCGACGGCAAGGUUUGGCACCUCGAUGUCGGCUCAUCGCAUCCUGGGGCUGAAGCAGGUCCCAAGGGUUGGGCUGUUCGCCCAUUAAAGCGGUACGCGAGCUGGGUUCAGAACGUCGUGAGACAGUUCGGUCCCUAUCCUCUGCAGCCGGAGGUGAAUUGAGGAAAGCUGUCCCUAGUACGAGAGGACCGGGACGGACGCAGCUCUCGUGUGCCAGUUGUCCUGCCAAGGGCAUGGCUGGUUAGCGACCUGCGGAAAGGAUAACCGCUGAAAGCAUCUAAGCGGGAAGCCUCUUCCAAGAUGAAUUCACCCACAGGGUUAACCUGGUAAGGCCCGUGGUAGACCACCACGUUGAUAGGCCGGAAGUGUAAGCGUGGCAACACGUUCAGCUGACCGGUACUAAUCGGCCGAGGGCUUGAGCA